rnacentral:lncRNA from 1 species
UGGCGACCCGUGUCAUGGGAGCGGGUUUCUGUUACGUGGGCUUUAGCGCGAGCUGGGCGGUCGGCCCGGUCCCACCGAACUGCAUAGGGCCGUGUAGCCGGGGGAAGUCAGCCCCCUGCUCUGAGAAGCAGACUCUGCAUCUGUAAAAGGCUAAGCGUGCCCACUGGGGCCUGUGGUCAGGAUUGGCUGCAGUGAGGUCCGCAAAGCCCCUACCGCAUCCUGCGCCUUCGUUAGGGUGAGCAGUCAUGGGGACUCGCAUUGUGCCACCACGUAGCGGGUCUCACUGGGUCCGCUUGUCUGCUCGAGGAGACAGCCGGUGAGGACGGGAGCUGGCCUGCUUUGCCCAGGCUGUAACCUCAGCCUCCGCCCAUACCCACAGUAAGCAUCCAUUCCAUUGAUAUUCGCUAAAUGAGUGAAUUAUUACUAAGACAGAGGGCCGAGUGGAAGCGCCAUAAAUCACGUGAGUGAAUGUAAUUGUUGUCGCUGACCCUAUGGAGCACUUCCCUUGCCAGGCACUCACCCAUCCUAGGUAUGUACUUUACAUGUAAUUGUCAUCUUCAUUUGUCUUCACAACAACCCUGUGAGGUGGGUGCUGUGGUUACUCCCAUUUUACAGAUAGGUAACUGAGGCACACAGAGCAUUUUGUUCAAGGACACACUGCCAGUCAGGGGUAGGAGCAGAAUGAGAACCUAUGGAGCUUGCUCUUAGGCACCCUGCCACACUGCUCACUGUGGGAGAGAAGCAGCCAGGCAGACGUGUGCAGCUUGGAAUUCCUUGCACACAUGGCUGCGGCAGGUCAAUUAGGUGCCCUGGUGUGUGCUGCAAAGAUGGAUACUAUGCGGUCCCUGCUGGGCACUCUGACUACUUCACUGGGCAGCUAGUUUUCCUGUUCACCAAGAGAAUUCUUUCCCAUGGCUUGUCUCAGACCUCCCGCACUCACUACUUCCUCACCGGACUCAAUGACCAUGGGUCUUAUCCCAUUGAGAAAAUGUAAUGCAUAAGAAUGGAAUGCACUCCUUCACAAUCACUUUGGCAUUCAUCGCCUCUUUUCCUCUUGCCCCAAAAGAGGGUCUCUUACAGAGGCCAGUCCCUCUAACUGUGUCCUGGAUCCCUCCCCAUUUGCCUUCUUUAUUAUAGGCAGUGCUCUAAGUGUGGUCUGGGAAUCCCUGGGGAUCCUGAGACCCUUUCAGACUGUCCAUGGGGCCAAAAAAUACUUUCAUAACACUUAAGACUUUACUUGCUUUUUCAUUGUUUUUCUCUCAUAAGUAUAUGGGGGGAUUUUCCAGAAGCUACAUGAUGUGUGAUAUUGCAACAAAUUGAAUGCAAAAGAAGGUAAGAGAUCCAGCGGUCUUGUACUAAGCCAGAUGUUAAAGAGAUCUGCAAAAAUAGAAAACUGCCCCUCUUUUCACUUUUUUGGAAAGUGUAAUUUUUCAUUAGAGAACGUUAACAUCUAAUGGGUUUAUUAUUUUUAAUGAGUUAAUAAAUUUUUUAUCAAUUGUAUUUUCUAACAUGGUAAAUAUUGAUAGAUAUAAACAUAAAUAAAAGUUUUUUGGGAUCCUCAAUACUUUUUAAGAGUGUGAAUGGAUCCUGAGGCCAAAAAGUUUGGUCCUGAGAUCAAAAGGGCUUCAGUUAUUCCCUCUCUCAUGAUAGCCAAGAGUCUCAUUCUUUCUCUUUCUCUCUUUCCCUCCUUCUUGGAACAUGCUCUAGUAUCUCACAUCUUUAAAAAAAAAAUAGAUGAUCUUCUGGUUUCCACCCCAUUUCUCUGCUCCUCUUUAACCUGCUUCUCAGUAGAGCUGUCUAUACAUGCUGUCUUUCAGUUACCAAAUUUCACAGAAGCGUGACUCUCAUUGCCUGGUAACUGGCAUUCUCACAAAUACUUCUUCUCUACUUGGCCGUACAUUACUUGACCUCUCAGUAGCAUUCAGCCCAGUUGAUCACUCCUUUCUGCCUGAAAUACUUCAGGCUUCUCUAAUACCACACCAACUACUCAAUUCUUGGGCCCCACUGGUGACUUCCCUCCUCUGUGUGGCCUUUGGAUGUUAGGGCCCCUCUGACCCUGUCGUAGGUCCUGCUGUUAUGCUUCUCACCAGCCUUGACCCCUCUACUGGAAUGUACUGGAGAUCACUCAGACUUAAGCCAUCCAUAUUGCCCUUGAUCCACUCACCUCCCUCACUCACCUAUUACUUUUUUUUUUUUUUCGAGACGGAGUCUUGCUCUGUCGCCUAGACUGGAGUGCAAUGGUGCGAUCUCGACUCAGUGCAACCUCCACCUCCCAGGUUUCAGCAAUUCUCUGCCUCAGCCUCCCGAGUAGCUGGGAUUACAGGCGUGAGCCACCAUGCCCAGCUGAUUUUUGUAUUUUUAGUAGAGACAGGGUUUCACCAUGUUGGCCAGGCUCGUCUUGAACUCCUGACCUCGUGAUCCGCCUGCCUCGGCCUCCCAAAGUGCUGGGAUUACAGGUGUGAGCUACUGUGCCUGCCCGCACUCACCUAUUCCAAAGCAAUGCUCAAACUAGGAAGCCUUGUUGUUACCCUCAAUGAUCACUACCUCAUACCCCAUAUCUAGUGCUUCAGCAAGUCUUGUCGAUUCUAACACCAGAAUACGUACAUGGUAGCAAUCUCAUCCAUUCUCUCCAAGUUCCCCUGCACUACCUUGCCUUAAAAGCCUUCUUAUGCUAAAAAUAAAAAUCUUUAAAACAGCAUGCAGGGCCACUGGGACCAUCCUACAACCUCAACCUCAUUCUCCCCCCAGGAUCGCUAUGGUCACAAAGCCCAGAAGCCAGCUUGAAUGGGGCUCCUGCUGGCCAGAAUAAUGAAGGACAGUAAAAGAAAUAGGAGUCAUGAGUCCAGGCCCAGGAGCGAUGGACAGAUAGAAUAAAUGCAGGACAAGGGAGGGCACGUGCUUGCAGUAGCAGGCCUAGGGACAAAUGGUCAUGCAGGAGGACUAGAGCUGAAAAGCCAUCAUGUUGCAACCACUGAGUGAAGAUUGAUUCAGGCAAGGAUCAUUCACGGGUGCUUCAUCUCGGGGUUCUUUGGAUGGGGAGCAGGAUAUUUGCAUUGUUUUAAAGGAUAGUCCCACAGAUCACUUAUUACUUACAGGAGAAAAAGUAGUCAUAAUACAAAAGAAAAAUGGACAAUGCUUGGAUACCAUAAUAAAAAUUAACACUACCAACAAGGAGCAUGGACAUUGUGUGGCUUCAGAUGUAAUGUGAAGGACAACCUCCGUUGAAAAGGGCAACUGCUGUAGUAUUCUAAUCUGGAAUGCAUCACCUAAUCCUA